GUGAAGGGCACCAAUUGUUAGGGGAAAAGGGAAGGCAUCUCAAAGAGGUGGCCUAACCCCAGGGGCUUGAGGUGGGAAGGACCUGGCUGCAGCACAACAUGCCAGCUCUUCCCAUGCAGCCACCUGGCAAGUUCUAGGUUCCAGAAGACACAUGGGAUUUUGGUGUCUCUUGCAGGCCGACACACCAGAAAGAGGAAGAGGAGGAAGCAGCUCAGAGCUGGCGUAUUUGCCCUGGCUCUGCCUCUGAGCCUGGGCCCAGGCUGGGCUCUCUGGGCUGCUGUUCCAAAGGCUUCAGCUCUGGUCCGGGGGCCCCAGCGGAGGCUGCUGGGAAGCCUGCUGCAGGUGAGGCUGAGCCCCCUCAGUGAGCACACAGGGUAGGGAAGGUUGCCUCACUCCUUGGGGUCCCUGCUUGCUGAAUGCCCUGGGUGCGUUGGGAGUGGGGCUGGGGGCCAGUGAGCCCUUGCCAUUUUGGGAAGGAAACUUCUAAAAGCAGAAAAGUGCCCAUCAGGUUCUUUUGCUUCUUGGGACACAUGGAUGAUCCCAUAGAAUGCUGAGAAUGUCAUCUAUUCUUGCAGGAAAAUACCGAAGUCCUCGGCUACCUGCUGGGUGUCAUUGCUGCCUUGGGCGCCUGGGCCUCUCGGAUACCCCCACUCUCCAGAAUCGUGAGGCUGGGGUGGGGCUGGGGCUAUAGGUCAUGUGGCAGGUUCCAGGACACAGGGAGCAUCCUGGAGGCUCCAGGUCAUCCUGGAGCUGUGGUGUCACUGUGCAUGUGACACACAUGCACUUACAUUUCUCUGAAGAGCUACAACAAAUGACAGAAGUGAGGGUGUGUAUACAGGGAGUGGGCAGCUGAGCCAGGGUGUCCUGAGGCCAUCUGGGGGCUCUGAUGGAAGGCCCACUGUGUUCUUUCCCUUUCUUCUUUUUUUUAAAUGGUCCUGAGGCUUCAUUCAUGCUAGGCAAGCUAGGCAGGUACUUUACCACUGAGCGACAUCCACAGUCCUUUUUAUUUUGAGUAGGAGUCUAAGUUGCCCAGGCUGGCCUUGAACUUCAGGCCUCCUGCUGCAGGCUCUCGAGUCACUGGGAUUAUAGACAUGUGCUAUCACACCAGCCUGUUUCCCAUUUCUUAUAGCCAAGGAAAAGCAGACGAGGGAAAAGCCACUGGGCUGGAACAAACAAGGGUCCCUCUCAAGUGCAAAGGGCCUAGAGGUCAGGUGCAUUCAGCUCCUAGGGCUCUGUAGUCCCAGAGCUUCUUAUUAGCAGAUGUUUUGCAAGUAUCUGGGGUGAAGGAAGCCCUGCUGGCCAGUCCUGUUGGGAGUACAGAUGUGAGGUGUCCUUGAAGAGCUCAUAGUCUCAUCAGGGACAGAAUGUGCAACAAGAUAUUUUAGUGCUCUAAGAAAGGUAGAAAGGAAGGUUUGGUAUUUUGGAAGACGAGGGAGAAGGCUCCUAAGCAGUUCUAGCAAGCAAAGAGGAGACCAUCCCCGCUGCCAGGCUGUGAGCAGUAGAGAGCUCUCAUGGGGGCUCAGAGGGGAGAGUGGGAUAUGAGGCAGCAGAGGUGAGGGAAGGACAGUUGGGCAGAGGAAAAGGUACAGGAACGUCACCAUUCACAGAGCCUGAGAAGGGCAAGCUCCAGAGCUGGUGUGACAACUGCUCUGCCAGGUGUUCUUGGCAGGCUCUGACACAGGUGUUCCUGUCUCAGGAACAGCGCCAAUGCUAACUCCAUGAAAUGUAGGAGGCCCAUCAUGGGGCCUAAAAAGGAUCAAAGCCCAGAAGCACCAUGUUUUGUUAAUAUAUUCUUUGUUGUUAAUGGACUUUAUUUAUUUAUAUGUGGUGCUGAGAAUCAAACUCAGAGCCUCAAACAUGCUAGACAAGUGCUCUACCACUGAGCCACAACCCCAGCCCAAGCACCAUGUUUUAAUAACAGAAGGGAACAGGAUUCAAGGAUGGAGGUAGGGACUGGGGACUGGUGCUCAUUUGCCUGAAGGUUUAGUCCCUUGCUAAAGGCCAGAAACACCCCAGGGUAUGACCUCACCAGCAGGUGUCCCGGCUUCAGACUUAAGAGGGGAAACAGGGAGCCCUGGGCUUAGUCCACUUGGUGGGUCUCCAGGGUGGCCUGGGGACUGGGGAGCCCCACUGCAGAAGACCUUUGACGGAGCCAGGACAGCACCCUGACUGCCUGUGGUGUUCCCUAGGGCCACAGUGGGGCCUUCAGGAUGGGGAACCCCAAGGCCUCCAGUUCCAGCUGCCCUGCUGCCUGUCUGAGGUGGGAAGGCCCAUGGGAAAGGGCCUCAGCCUCUGGGGCAGGGGCCAAGCCCACCCCUCCUGGCCAGGUACUCUGUACCUGACUGUGCUGUCUUGAUUCACCAGUCUCCAGUGGAUUGUGGCCAGAAACAGGCCCUGGAGCAAAAGUAGAUGAAAUGCAGACACAUUCAUGAGGAUUCUUUUUGAGAACUAAAAUGGGAGGAAAUUGGCCCAAACAUGCUCUUCCCUGCAUUUUUUCCCAUUCCUUAGCCAAGUCACAAUGCCUCUAAAUAUGGUCAUCUAGUAAAAAUACUAUACAUAAAUAGAAGUAAUUUAAAAUAUGUAAUUGUAUCCAAUUAAUAGUUUUGUGGGGCUGGGGAUGUGGCUCAAGUGGUAGCGCGUUCGCCUGUCAUGCGUGCGGCCCGGGUUCGAUCCUCAGCACCACAUACAAACAAAGAUGUUGUGUCUGCCAAUAACUAACUAAAUAAAUAAAUAUUAAAAAAAAAUAGUUUUGUGGACAUGCAUAUAUAUUAUCUAGAUAGAUAGAUAUAGAUAGAUAGAUAUAUGGUGGCUCAGUACCUGUAAAGGCUACUUACAUAUAAAUAUUGCAUGUUUCUUGUUUUUGAACCAAUAUGUUUCCAUUACUAGUUCUGCAGAAAUGUCCCCUUGGCUACUACCUCUCAUUUUCCUGACCUUUUCUAUUUGUCCUGGUUCAAAGUUGGGGGUCCCAGCAGGAGAAGGGUGGGUGUGGUGUUUUAUAACUCAGUCUCACCCCUCCCCUAGCUGGCAGUCACGAAGUCCUGCAGUCCAGCCUCAGGAGCAGGGGCACUGAGAUGGCAAGGACCUAGCUCGGAGCUCUGUGAAUGUGUAAAGAGUGAAGUCAUGCUCAGCAAAGGCACUCUACCAGGGGAUGGGUCUAGUGUGACAGGGCCCAGAAGAAAGGGUUACUUGCUCCCCCUCUGGUGGAAGGGCCCAGGGAAGGUUUCCUAGAGUUUAGUUUAAGCCAGGUUUUGAGGGAUGCGUAGGAAUUUGUGAGGCAAAGGAAGCAGCUUGAGCAAAAGCUGAAAGCCAAACAGAGGCAGCACGGCCCCUGGAGAGUGGCUGGGGUGGAGGGCUUGCCCCGGGCCACCUGCUGUGCCACCAAGGGUCCUGGGCCUCAGGAUCUGGGGUUCCCCUGCCACUCCCCUCCUCUCUCUCUCUGCCCAGUGCCGGGGGAAGUCAUUCUCCUACAUCCACCUGUGGACACGGCUGCUGUCCGCCCUGGCGGGCCUCCUCUACGCCUCAGCCAUUGUGGCCCAUGACCGGCAGCCCGAGUACCUGCUUCGGGCUACACCCUGGUUCCUGACCUCCCUGGGCCGAGCUGCUCUGGACCUUGCUGUAUCCACCCUAGGCCCCAUGGGUGGGGGAGGGGGGAGCUGAUUGCAGCCAGAGGAGGUCUGUGUCUCACCCCCAUACUCCCUCCUUCCCUCUUGUCGGUAGAACUCUUGAGAGAUGGGGUGGUUUGAAGCCUGGGACAGGCAGGCACAAAUGCGAUUAUUUGUGGUUUGGUGCUUCCCCUUUUUAAAACAAGAAGAAUUUAUCUCCUGGUUGGGGCUCUCUGAAACAGCAAAGAGGAGUGGCAGGCUCCUGGCCCUGUGGUCAGAAGCCUCAGGUGCUAGGCUCAGUUCAGCUCCCCAGGGAGUAUCUCCUCCGGAUUGGUGCCACUCUCGCCACUCCCAUGAGCCCUGAUCCCAGCCUUUCUCCCAGCCCUGCAGGCCCUGCUCAGGGAGUUGCUCCCUUUCUGCUCUGCUCUCUGGAGCUAGAGUCUGUGGUGCAGGAGCAAGGAUCAAAGCUGACAAAUGCUGCAUCUGUUGGUGACUGCAGAGCGCCUUUCUGGUUCUCCAGGUGUGCCUGAUGUGCUGGUACCCAGGUGACCUUGACAUGAGCGCUUCAAGGGCAAGCUAAAC
rnacentral:lncRNA from 1 species